ACUGCUUUCAUUUGUCUUGUUUCUCCCGAGCCUGCAGAAUGCGGCCGCCUUCUGCACACACUAUCUUCAGAGACAGUAAGAAACAAAUACACUAACCAUAGUGGAGGUUUAAAGCUCGAAUGUGUCUGAAUCUGAGCUGUGACUGACUCUGCACACUGCAUAGAGCUUUUUUUUUCACUUCUGUUGAAUAAAUUCUCACCUAACUACUGCAAAGCAGGAAAGCCCAUAGUAAUUGCAUCCUCUCUCUCUUCUGACUUGAUUUAAGAAGAAUAAAUCAAUAAAAUAUAAGCCACGCUUCCCAUUCACUCCAUUAUCAGUCUUGGAGGAAAUAGACCAACUAAGAGUCACCUUGCUUCUCCUGGACAGGAGCUAGUGAUUACAAUGAGGGAAAUAAUCAAAGCUGGUUGAGGUGUUGGGCUGCAAUACUAGUCUUUCUUGUUUAGAUGUAUUAAAUCUGAUUUAGUAUGAUGACUUUCCCUAUAAGAAAAAAAAGAGUUUGCAAUUUACUAACCAUAACUCAGACAAGAGGCAUCAUUCUCACCAUACCAGUCAUUAAUUAUAUACAUCCUUAGGAAGAAUAUGAGGGAUAUUGAGAAUAGCCUACCCUUGACCAGGUGUUGCAGAACUAGGGAAUUAAUUAUUUAUGCAACUUCUUUCAUUCCAUUGAUUUAGGUACAACACUAAGGAAAUAACAUUUUAAAAGAGAAGGUUAUGCUUAGUAAUGUUUAAUCCAGUCAAAGCAUGAAGAUGAGGCAGGAGAUUUGUAGCAAGCUGUCUCUAGAUUAGCCAUUAGUCCAAAUGCCUUUAGGCAAGCCAGUAAUAAUAGUAAGGGGCUGAUAAAUACAUAUAAAAAAAUGUCCCACAUACCCCAGAAAGGAAGAUUUCAAUCAUAAUGGUAACAAAACACAAGUCUAGGAAUAAAUUUAAUUAUUUUAAGCAGUGCUUUACCGAGAAUUAAAGACAUUUAUAAAUAGCAAUAAAUAGUAUGUUCUUAAUCAAAUUAUCAAAUAUACACGUUAAGGAGUUUUGUUCUCCACAAAUCAAUUUAUAAUUUAAUUCAAUUACAAAGUUUAAAUCAAAAUAUGAAUAAAUAGCAGAAUUCACCUUUUCUUAUUUCUGUCAUAAACAUCUACUGAUAAUCAACUAUGUGAAAAAGUUUGUGCUAGGUACUACAGAUAAAGCAGCAAAUAAGACACAGAACUCUGUCUUCUAAAUUCUAUGCAAGAGUAAAUGUAAACAGAUACAGAAUUUCGUAAAGAGAAUAGAUUUUUGAAUUUUAUAUAAAGCUCACAUUCUCAAAUCACCUCCUAUCCUAAUUUAAUUCAAAGACACACAAAAAAAUUCCAUCAAUGGACACUAAAGGAAGACCUAUGUCACAUUUUCUCAAUAAGAAAGUGGUACAUAAAAAGCACAUAAAACAGGCUGACAACUUUUACCACAAAUUUACAGGAAGAAAAUUACUAUAAAGCUGUACUUUAUUACUAUCUCUUGCAGGACAAUUAAAAAAGCAGAUGUUUGAGGAGAAGACUUGAUGAAUGGGGAAUGCUCAAUUCAAGAUGUAAUGAAGGAACUAGAGACCUUGAUUGCGAUGUUGGACAUACCAAAAAAGAUGUGUUCCCUGACACUGAAUAGGUGCACUUCACAGUCACCGGAUCCCCUUCUGUGACAGUGACCUGAUCUUCUGGCGGAGUCAUUGACUGAGCUCUCAGUCCACCUAUAAAUUAAUCCAUAACGCAUCAGAGAAACUGCUGAAAAAGAAUCUCUUCAUGGAUUUCCUGCCUCUGUGUCCUCCAGAGCACAGUAGUAAAUGGCUGCAUCUGCCAUCUGCACCUGGAGGAUAAGCAGUGAUGAAGAGAACCGCUCAUAUGUCAUG